rnacentral:rRNA from 1 species
CAGUAGCCGCGGUAAUACAGAGGGUGCAAGCGUUAAUCGGAGUUACUGGGCGUAAAGCGCGCGUAGGUGGUUUGUUAAGUUGGAUGUGAAAUCCCCGGGCUCAACCUGGGAACUGCAUCCAAAACUGGCAGGCUAGAGUAGGGCAGAGGGUGGUGGAAUUUCCUGUGUAGCGGUGAGAUGCGUAGAUAUAGGAAGGAACACCAGUGGCGAAGGCGACCACCUGGGCUCAUACUGACACUGAGGUGCGAAAGCGUGGGGAGCAAACAGGAUUAGAGACCCGAGUAGUCCCUGUCUCUUAUAC